rnacentral:rRNA from 1 species
UACGAAGGGGGCGAGCGUUGUUCGGAAUUACUGGGCGUAAAGGGCGCGCAGGCGGCUCAGACAGUCAGAUGUGAAAGCCCCGGGCUUAACCUGGGAACUGCAUUUGAUACUACUGAGCUUGAGUACGGGAGAGGAUAGUGGAAUUCCCAGCGUAGAGGUGAAAUUCGUAGAUAUUGGGAAGAACACCGGUGGCGAAGGCGGCUAUCUGGACCGUAACUGACGCUGAGGCGCGAAAGCGUGGGGAGCAAACAGG